ensembl:snRNA U6 U6 spliceosomal RNA
AUUAUAUACUAUACAUAAGGUUAUAUAAAACUGUAAUGAUACAUACAAGAUUAGCAUGGCCCCUAAGCAGAAAUGACAUGCAAACUCAUGAAGUGUUUCAUAUUUUU